GGGUGACCGUCACGUGACCUGGCGAGGCGGCGGUACUGGGCUGAGGGAAUACCAUGGCCGUCCCUCUUUCCCCCACGCUGGUGCUGGGCGAGGCCUCGGAGAGCGACUCAGAGCCGGAGCCGGGGGGGAACACAGCCGGGACUCCCGCAGUGGGGCUGAAGGUUCCGGGGGAGGCGUCGGAGACCGAGGAGGAGGAGGAAGAGGACAGUGCGGCCCGGAUGCCGCUGCCAGGGGUGUCCAGGGGGGGGCCCCUCACUGCUGCAGCAGCGGCUGGGGGCGGGCGAGGGGCGACUGCGGGGCGCAAUGGCUGAGGCACUGGGACGCAGUUUCAGUGGGGCUGCGCGGCUGCUGGAAGGUCUGGGGGGCCCCUGGGCCAGCGCCCAAGCUGGGGCAGCUGCGACCGCGCACUGCCUGUGCCUGGUGCGCCGUGACCUGCGCGCUGUGGCUGCCACCGUAGCCACCAUCACCGCCUGUCACCUGCUGCCUGACAUCCGUGGGGAGCUGUGAGAGUGGGAAUGUCUGUGGGGGGGGGGGGGGGGGCAGUGCUGGCAGCUGUGGGGAGCUCCUGGCGUUGUUGUUGCAGUGUCACUGACACUGACCUUCAGCACUGUGUCCAAUGGACUCGAGGGUUGUGGUUGUCACUGAUGACAUUCUCAUUGUCACUGCAUUGCCAGUGCUGUGUCCCCUUGAGCUGAUGCUGCCAUCAACAGCACUGCCGCUGAUCGCUCAGUGUCCCAGCGAUGUCCCUGUGUCACCUGGCCUGUGGGGACCUUGGCCUCACAGUGACGUUGUCAGUGAAUGGAAGCUCCUGACGAUUGAUUGAUGCAGAAUUCUGUAGUUUUUGCCCUGUAUAGGGGAUCUGUGGGUUCUGGCACUGACUAAAGCCCUUUGGAGACAUAGCUGCAGCAAGGACACAGCUUUCACUAGGUGGGUGGCAGUGUGUUCACCCACGGCACUGUGGUCCCAGUGGUCUGAGCAAGGUCCCUUUUGUUGCCCCCCAUGUCCUUGGGCUGUGGUUGUGUCCUGUGCGUCCCUUCCUGCCAUAUGAAUGUCUCCAGCAUCUGGCCACUGUCCCCAAGCUGUGGCUAUGUCCUGUCACCCUAAGUGCCCCUUGGCCUUGUCCUUAGCUCUCUCCUACCUCUGUGUACCCCUCUGAGAACUUCAGCCAGGGACAGGGAGAAGUACAUACGAAUCUCACACCACGGAGCCACAUGGGUCUGUCACGCUGCAUCCUGCCUGGGCUGUCACGUCCUGUGGGACACCAGGGGAUACACCCUGGGUGCUAGUGGGCUUGUGGCACCAAAAUGCCCGGGGCCUGAUGAGGGUCCUGGGGGCUCCUGGCGUCUCCAGAAGGGUCCCAACUGUCCCCAGGGACUGACCUGAGGGGUAGUGGAAAACCAGGAUGAAGGUUCACUUUCCCCAUUCCCCUGUGUUGUGGCAAAGGGGAAAGGUUUUGUGAAGAGCACAGUGGUGUUGGAUUCUGUUCAUAAAGAUUCUAGACCUCGGUUCCCUUCCCGUAUCCAAAUUAGAAUGAAAGAUAGUAUUAACAAUUCAUCUUUUGAGGAAGAACCUCUGAGCACUUGUAACUGGCAGUGCUUUGAUAUUCUAGGUAACCUGUUCCAUAAGGAGUGCUGGGUGAUGCUGACUGAUACUGUCAAUUGUGAGCAUGCUCCACAGAAAGUUUCCCUCUGUGGGAGUGAGGAAACAAAAUGUGGUGAUUCAGUACUGUGGGGUUAUUAUGGGGUUACUAGAGUCUAGGAUUCUAGAGUCUGAGGAUUCUAUGAAUUGAUUAUUGGAGGAUUCUAUGAGGAUGCUAUGAGGAUACCAGCUCCUGUGAUUAUAAGUUCUGUUAUUUCAGAUUCUGUGAUCGUUUCAUGAUUCUAGAUUCCUUGACUCUGUGAUGAUUCUGGGCUUCAGUUGUGUGGUGAUUCUGAUUCCUCACUAAGAGUAUAGAUUCCCAGACUUGUAGCUACGCAAUACGAUGCGUUUCCAUCUCCACUCCUGUGCAUAGUGUGUGGCAUAGUUCUGAGUGCCUGACACAGCCCAAGCAAAAUCAAUUUCUGUAGGUUAUUACUAAAUAAAUAAAUAAAUCAAUAAAUUUCUUGCUUUAGUUUCUGCUCCCUGAUCCAUUUAUUUAUGUUCUCCCUUGCUUCAUAUGUAACUUCCAAACUUGGCAUUUUGCAGAUAAUACCUUUUCCCCCUUUCGUCCUUUGGUGGCCCCUAAUGGUCUCUUCUUUCUCAGUUAGAACAGUUGUCAUGAGCCUAUUCAUAUAGGAAUUUGGGACUGGAGUUCACUCCGUGACUCUUAUCAUAGUUGAUGUCCCUAGUUGCUAUCGUGCAGACUUCACCAAUUUAUAACAGAUGGAUACAGCUACGAUAUACACUCCUAAGAGGGAAGCAGGAAUGUAUAUUUAUUGAUGUAAUGUAGAUAUGCUGUAGUGAUAUGACAGUGACUUAACAAGACUGGAGAUGGCUGGAUACACUUGGUUAUUUUCCACAUAGAGGGCAGGAUUAAACACACACCUACAGGACGCUCUCCUGCUGUGUCAUGAGGAUCAGAGCAGGCCCCGUUGCUGUCUGAACUCUUCAAACCACAGAGGUAAGGAUCCUCAGCACAGCUGGAUCCACUCCUUGUCCCAGACGCGUUCAAGAGUUUGUGUCUAAGGGAUCCUAUGUGCACAAUCAAAGAUAUAACCGUAGUGGAGCUAACAAAGCCCACCCAAACUACUAGUCACUUACUGAGGAUCCGUAUCAACAAGGUGUCUUGACAUCAAGGUGGAAAGGAUCUCUGUGCAGGUGUAACCUCAAGAGGCAUGCCUGCUCAAGGGGAGAGCUGUUCCUCUGUGCAGGAGAGCUCAAGAGGUGCUUGUGCUGCUGUCUAUUUUGGUGGUAAGAUGAUUGACUCAUUGCCGUACUUUAUUUUUAGGCAUAUGCUCAAUUGGCCCUCAGAUGUUGAGCCAGAGGCCUGCUGUCAGUUCUUUCAGCCUCCCAGCUUGAGGCAGUUUUGUGAUCUUUAGUCUGGUUUAGCUAGGAGUGUUGCUCACUGUCUUCCUGUGCAAGGCUGAGGGAGGAAGGUGGGAGAAAGGAAGAAAGGGGGAGGGGGGAGCACACCAUCACACUGGCUUUGCUGGGAAGGAAGGCUGGUAAGAGCAGGUCUGCUGGUCUGAGUCCCAGCCUGCUUUUACCCCCAGGAAAUGCCCUGCAGGUGGGCUGGCGAGGGUGGGGGUUGGGCAGGAAUUGCUGCAUUUCCUCCCACAUCUCCUGCCAUUUCUCUUGUCCCAGCAGGCUCCAGUUUAACAUCUGCCUGCAGCCUGCAGCAGAGCAGCACAUGGCCACUGCAUGUCCAUCUUAGGCAGGGGCUGGGGGAAGCAGCCAGGAGAGGGCAAGGGGCAAGAGAUGGGAGUGCGGGGGGAGAGUGUCCUUCAGUGUCCUUCAGCCAGCAUUUGUGUGCUGGGAACAGAGAAGCUGCUGGGACUGGAGUUUCUCUCCUCUCCAAGCUGCUUCCCUGGGCUUUGGCUGUGCCCAGAAAGGAGCACUUGCAGGAGCCCGUGGCCUUUGCAGAGGUGGCCAUGUAUUUCAGCAGGGAGGAGUGGGCAUUGCUGGACUCUGCGCAGUGUGUGUGCUGUACUGAGGUGUGAUGCUGGAGACUAGCAGUGCGUGGCCUCGUUAGGUGAGGGCUUUGCUGGUGCUCCUUCUUAUUAGAGCACCUCUGGCUGUGCAGAAUGAGCCUCUGCAAGCAGGACGUAGAAUAAAUGCAGUGGGGUUACUUAUUGACCAGUGCAACAGCAACGAAAGAAACCUAUACUUUUCUGCUGUUUAUUUCCCAUAAACGUUGUUGAAGCCUUGGUAAACAAAACAUCCUAAAGGGAACGUUGAAGAAAAUGUCCCUGCAUCAUUUUCAGAGAUGUAAAAGGUGUGCUGGGCUCCAAAGGGAGUCGGUAUGUAUUGGGCCGGUGUCAUUCAGAAUUAAAACAGGGACAUGCUGACAUGCACCAGAGUGGGCUCAUGCUUGACAUCUUGUAAACAGGGUUGAAAAGAAACCUCAAAAUAAACACACGUCUACAAAAGCUGCCCUCCCCUCCAAAAUCAGCACAUUUUGCACAGCCAGAGGUACCUUCCCGGUCUUCUGUCUGUUGGCAGUUUUACUUCAUCUGUUUUUUCUUCAGAUCACAGCAGUGUGAGUCUGACUGCGUCAGCGGAAGAGCUGCCUUCAUGGAGGUGCAGGUGCAGUCGGCCGUUGUGGAAUUCAUCCUGAACCACACUCUUCCACUCCAAAUCCAGCCCAGUCAUUGGAGAUGGAGGAGUCUCUAUAGGUUAAUCAGCAGGGCUGUUCAGCUGCAUGGCAAAGACUGCGUGGGCCCUGCAGCUGUUGCCCAGUUCUCUGCCUGCAUUGCUGAUUCGUGGCUUUAGGAUGAGGAAUUAACUGCAACGUGUUUGUGCCCAGCCCUGGAACCUACAGCUUUCCUUGAGUAACUGCUAAGACCAUAAGUGCACCUGUUCCAGUGGAAACAAACAGAGUUGCACCAGGAAGAAAGUUUCCUCUGCGUGUUAGAUGAAUAAAUGUUCAGAGCACAAGCAA